rnacentral:rRNA from 1 species
AACGAACGCUGGCGGCGUGGAUAAGACAUGCAAGUCGAACGGGACUAAAUCUGUAGCAAUACAGGUUUAGUUUAGUGGCGAACGGGUGCGUAACACGUGGGCAAUCUGCCGAGAAGUGGGGGAUAGCUCGCCGAAAGGCGAAUUAAUACCGCAUAUGAUCAGUGAAGACAUCUUCACGACAUCAAAGCCGGGCAACCUGGCGCUUCUUGAUGAGCCCGCGGCCUAUCAGCUAGUUGGUGAGGUAACGGCUCACCAAGGCUAUGACGGGUAGCUGGUCUGAGAGGACGACCAGUCACACUGGAACUGAGACACGGUCCAGACACCUACGGGUGGCAGCAGUCGAGAAAUUUUUCUCGAUGGGGCAACCCUGAAGGAGCGACGCCGCGUGGAGGAUGAAGGCUUUCGGUU